rnacentral:RNase_P_RNA from 1 species
UUUGCCCGGAGGGAAUUCGAUGGGGGAAGAAUAAUAUGGUUUUCUCCCAUAGGAAAGUCCGGACACCGCAGAGCAGGAUUCCGCAUGAAAGUGCGGGGGCUAUUGGUCAAGCGAUAGUCACGGAAAGUACAACAGAAAGGAUACCGCCGCGAGGUAAGGGUGAAAAGGUGAGGUAAGAGCUUACCGGAUACAAAGUAAUGCGUGUUGCUAUGGAAACCCAAUCCGGUGCAAGACAAAAUAGGGGACGGGGUUGCUCGCCCGAUGGUUCCGGGUUUGUCGCAUCUUCUGAGAAGAAACAGCGUGAGUUGUUAGAGAAAUGAAUUCCGAGCCGCAAGGCUUACAAAAUCCGGCUUAUAUCCGGGCAAAACUU